rnacentral:rRNA from 1 species
GGCGUGCCUAUACAUGCAAGUCGAGCGAACUGAUGAAGAGCUUGCUUUUGAUCAGUUAGCGGCGGACGGGUGAGUAACACGUGGGUAACCUGCCUGUAAGACUAGGAUAACUCCGGGAAACCGGGGCUAAUACUGGAUAACUUUUCUCUCCGCAUGGAGGGAGAUUGAAAGAUGGCUUCGGCUAUCACUUACAGAUGGACCCGCGGCGCAUUAGCUAGUUGGUGAGGUAACGGCUCACCAAGGCAACGAUGCGUAGCCGACCUGAGAGGGUGAUCGGCCACAUUGGGACUGAGACACGGCCCAAACUCCUACGGGAGGCAGCAGUAGGGAAUCUUCCGCAAUGGACGAAAGUCUGACGGAGCAACGCCGCGUGAGUGAAGAAGGUCUUCGGAUCGUAAAACUCUGUUGUUAGGGAAGAACAAGUAUCGUUCGAAUAGGGCGGUACCUUGACGGUACCUAACCAGAAAGCCACGGCUAACUACGUGCCAGCAGCCGCGGUAAUACGUAGGUGGCAAGCGUUGUCCGGAAUUAUUGGGCGUAAAGCGCGCGCAGGCGGUCUUUUAAGUCUGAUGUGAAAGCCCACGGCUCAACCGUGGAGGGUCAUUGGAAACUGGAAGACUUGAGUGCAGAAGAGGAGAGUGGAAUUCCACGUGUAGCGGUGAAAUGCGUAGAGAUGUGGAGGAACACCAGUGGCGAAGGCGACUCUCUGGUCUGUAACUGACGCUGAGGCGCGAAAGCGUGGGGAGCA